AUUGAACGCUAGCGGGAUGCUUUACACAUGCAAGUCGAACGGCAGCGCGGACUUCGGUCUGGCGGCGAGUGGCGAACGGGUGAGUAAUGUAUCGGAACGUGCCCAGUAGCGGGGGAUAACUACGCGAAAGCGUAGCUAAUACCGCAUACGCCCUACGGGGGAAAGCAGGGGAUCGUAAGACCUUGCACUAUUGGAGCGGCCGAUAUCGGAUUAGCUAGUUGGUGAGGUAACGGCUCACCAAGGCGACGAUCCGUAGCUGGUUUGAGAGGACGACCAGCCACACUGGGACUGAGACACGGCCCAGACUCCUACGGGAGGCAGCAGUGGGGAAUUUUGGCCAAUGGGGGCAACCCUGAUCCAGCCAUCCCGCGUGUGCGAUGAAGGCCUUCGGGUUGUAAAGCACUUUUGGCAGGAAAGAAACGUCGCGGGCUAAUACCCCGUGGAACUGACGGUACCUGCAGAAUAAGCACCGGCUAACUACGUG
rnacentral:rRNA from 1 species